rnacentral:rRNA from 1 species
GACGAACGCUGGCGGCGUGCUUAACACAUGCAAGUCGAACGGAAAGGCCCUGCUUUUGUGGGGUGCUCGAGUGGCGAACGGGUGAGUAACACGUGAGUAACCUGCCCUUGACUUUGGGAUAACUUCAGGAAACUGGGGCUAAUACCGGAUAGGAGCUCCUGCUGCAUGGUGGGGGUUGGAAAGUUUCGGCGGUUGGGGAUGGACUCGCGGCUUAUCAGCUUGUUGGUGGGGUAGUGGCUUACCAAGGCUUUGACGGGUAGCCGGCCUGAGAGGGUGACCGGCCACAUUGGGACUGGGAUACGGCCCAGACUCCUACGGGAGGCAGCAGUGGGGAAUAUUGCACAAUGGGCGGAAGCCUGAUGCAGCAACGCCGCGUGCGGGAUGACGGCCUUCGGGUUGUAAACCGCUUUCGCCUGUGACGAAGCGUGAGUGACGGUAAUGGGUAAAGAAGCGCCGGCUAACUACGUG